AAAUAGAUACCCCGGUAGUCCACGCCGUAAACGAUGAGUGCUAAGUGUUGGGGGGUUUCCGCCCCUCAGUGCUGCAGCUAACGCAUUAAGCACUCCGCCUGGGGAGUACGGCCGCAAGGCUGAAACUCAAAGGAAUUGACGGGGGGCCCGCACAAGCGGUGGAGCAUGUGGUUUAAUUCGAAGCAACGCGAAGAACCUUACCAGGUCUUGACAUCCCGCUGCCCGGUAUAGAGAUAUACCUUUCCCUUCGGGGACAGCGGUGACAGGUGGUGCAUGGUUGUCGUCAGCUCGUGUCGUGAGAUGUUGGGUUAAGUCCCGCAACGAGCGCAACCCUUGAUCUUAGUUGCCAGCAUUUAGUUGGGCACUCUAAGGUGACUGCCGGUGACAAACCGGAGGAAGGUGGGGAUGACGUCAAAUCAUCAUGCCCCUUAUGACCUGGGCUACACACGUGCUACAAUGGAUGGUACAAAGGGCUGCAAGACCGCGAGGUUUAGCCAAUCCCGAUAAAAACCAUUCUCAGUUCGGAUUGCAGGCUGCAACCG
rnacentral:rRNA from 1 species